rnacentral:lncRNA from 1 species
GGGGCUGAAAUGCUGUAACUCCACGUUGAAACUCUCCAUCACUUCGCGAAGGAAAUGAUGCGGAGGCAUCCGAAGUCCGCAGGUGAAGAAAUCCCUGAAUACCACUGCAUAACCUUCCUCAGGCGCAGGUACCGUUUGACCCACAGGAGGAGCCUUCGCUCGACCUUCCUUGAAAAACCUAGCCUUGACCAUAUCAGGAAUAUCCUCCGCCGUCACAGUAGACUCCCCAAACUCAAAGGUAAUUGCAGCCAUCUCCUCAAACUCCUUCAAGCUGAUCAGAUCACCAACAGAAGCUUCGACGUCAGACAACGUCUCCUCCAGAUCUUGAGCAGCAGCUACCUCAAGCAUCCAAUCUUCAAACCUCCGCAACCAACCACC